rnacentral:tRNA from 1 species
GGGCAUAUGGUGUAAUGGAUAGCAUUCGGGCCUUCUAAGCCUGAGAUUCCGGUUCAAUUCCGGAUAUGCCCG